rnacentral:lncRNA from 1 species
CGCAGCUGUUCCAGGGUGACAGAGAGAUGCCAACCCUGGACCAGUGCACUGGGCUUGGGCAUUGGGUGGAUCUCAAGGGUGUGAGGCGGCUUUCUCUGGAGCAGAGGCUGGAGGAUAUGGUGGAAUUUCUUUGCAGUUUGCCUGGAGCUGAGCCUGGAAGCUGGAAGGAUCCAGGAAGGGUUGCAAACGUCCAGGGAGAGCAGCCUCCCCUCUCCAAGCCCAGGUGUGUAAACAGAGAGCAGUGGGACCACGCUCUGUCUCAGAAUUUCAUUUUCUGUUUGUUUUGUUCUUUGGUGUUUGGAGACAGCAUCUCACUAUGCAGUCCACGUUGGUCUUCAACUCAUUAUAUAGCCCAAGAUAGCCUCAAAAUCAUGGAGAUCUCCCUGGCUCAGCCUCCCUCAUUCUGGUAUUCCAGCUGGGCUAUAGACUUCUUCUUGUAG